AGUGAACGCUGGCGGUAGGCCUAACACAUGCAAGUCGAACGGCAGCACAGUAAGAGCUUGCUCUUACGGGUGGCGAGUGGCGGACGGGUGAGGAAUACAUCGGAAUCUACUUUUUCGUGGGGGAUAACGUGGGGAAACUUACGCUAAUACCGCAUACGACCUACGGGUGAAAGCAGGGGAUCUUCGGACCUUGCGCGAUUGAAUGAGCCGAUGUCGGAUUAGCUAGUUGGCGGGGUAAAGGCCCACCAAGGCGACGAUCCGUAGCUGGUCCGAGAGGAUGAUCAGCCACACUGGAACUGAGACACGGUCCAGACUCCUACGGGAGGCAGCAGUGGGGAAUAUUGGACAAUGGGCGCAAGCCUGAUCCAGCCAUACCGCGUGGGUGAAGAAGGCCUUCGGGUUGUAAAGCCCUUUUGUUGGGAAAGAAAAGCAGCAGGUUAAUACCCCGCUGUUCUGACGGUACCCAAAGAAUAAGCACCGGCUAACUUCGUG
rnacentral:rRNA from 1 species